rnacentral:rRNA from 1 species
UACGUAGGGUGCGAGCGUUAAUCGGAAUUACUGGGCGUAAAGCGUGCGCAGGCGGUUAUGUAAGACAGGGGUGAAAUCCCCGGGCUCAACCUGGGAACUGCCUUUGUGACUGCAUGACUAGGGUACGGCAGAGGGGGAUGGAAUUCCGCGUGUAGCAGUGAAAUGCGUAGAUAUGGGGAGGAACACCGAUGGCGAAGGCAAUCCCCCGGGCCUGUACUGACGCUCAUGCACGAAAGCGUGGGGAGCAAACAGG